AUCGUGCAUUUUCUGAGCCGUGUAAAGACCUUGGAUUCUCUACUGUGGAACAAUGAAGAUCUCAGUGUGCUUGCUUUGUUUAACGAUGUUCUUUCUCAUCAUCCAAGACAGUGUGGAAGGAUCACUAUCCAGUAAGGAGAAACCUCAUAUAUCCCCCAGCCAGAGGUUCUUUUGUGUCACCUGUUCUCUAGCAAACAACCCCUCCGCAGAAUGGUUGAAGCGCUGCAGGAAGUUACUCUGUAAGCUUUGAACGUGGCGAUUGCUGAGAGUACUGAACACUUGACAAUAAAGAUCCGAAACCUGAACCAAAGAAUUCACUUUUCUCUGUGAAGAAGUGUAAUGCGAUGUAGAUACAUGUAAAUCCAAAUAAAAAUUGAUAAAUG
rnacentral:sRNA from 1 species